rnacentral:lncRNA from 1 species
GGAUCUGAUUAUUAAUUUAACACUAUUUGAAAAGAUAAAUGUCAAUUUAAGAUUGUGGCUACCAUAGUAACCAUUUAUAUGACCCUAAGCAAAAAAAAGAGAAAUCGCCAAAAAUAUGUAUUUUAUAGCUUCUGCAUACAAAUAUUUACUCCGGUAUUCUUUCUAAAAAUCAUAUCUCAAACAAAAUGGUUGUUGUGAAGGUUACCAUGUCAGUAAAGAUUAAGACUUUGUCAACUCUCAAGAGUCUGUAAAUAACAGUUAACAUGGUUAAGUGGUAAAAUUAUGAAAAUUUUAAGUGUAAAUUUAAUCAGAACCUGUGAAAAUGCAUACAUCUUGCACCUCAUUUCACUUCAACUUUGAAAUAAUAUACUACAGAGUUGCACUGGUGCUAAAACACUAUGCAAACAAAACACAAGUCAAUGUCUCUGUCUAUGAUUGAAAUCCAAAUCUCACUAUUAACUUAUAAAAGCAAGAACAAAAUGUUGUCAAAUUCACAGAUGCUCGUAUGCUCCAUGCACACUAUCAUUUUCUAUGUUUAGUUGACUGUGAAAUUGGGGGAAAAAUCUAAUUUGGCAUUUAGACAUAUUAAAUUAGAAAUCAUAUCUUAGGGAACAUGUGUACUAAGUUUCAAGUUGAUCAAGUUGAUUGGAGUUCAAUUUCAUCAAAAACUACCUUGACCAAAAUCUUUUACCAAAAACUUAUAACGGAAACUCUUACCAUCAUUGUCUAUGUUCAAUGGAUCGUGAGUUUGAUGUCUCUUUUGGU